rnacentral:tRNA from 1 species
GAUCCGGUAGUUCAGCUGGUUAGAAUGCCGCCCUGUCACGGCGGAGGUCGCGGGUUCGAGUCCCGUCCGGAUC